rnacentral:lncRNA from 1 species
ACUAUACAGACAUCAUCCUACCUUCCUGCAUUUCUUGGCGUGCGUGUGAAGUAGAGGGUCCGUACAUCCGGGCCUUGCAUAGCACCAGAUCCAUCAGACCAGAUCCGGCACCAGAUCCAGUUCCAGAUCCAGUUUCCGAUCCAGUACCAGAUCUAGCAUCUGAUCCAGUAUCUGAUCCAGCACUUGGCCCUGUACCAGAUUCUGUUCCUGUGUACCUUGACCAUCUUCCGCUGCGGGAUCGAGGUAUGGUAAACAUAAUAUAGUUAUGUUAUUUAUUUAUACCUGUUAUAAAUAAAUAGAUAAAAUUUUAAAACUGAUUUUCUGACCUGGCAUC